UGUGUACUCCCUCCGUUCCAAAAUACUUGACUUCCAUUUGUCCAAAAAUGGAUGUACUAUAUACUAAAACAUGUCUAGAUACAUAUAUAUUUUGACAAAUAGAAGGCAUGUAUUGUGCAACGGAGGGAGUAGAAU
rnacentral:pre_miRNA from 1 species